rnacentral:rRNA from 1 species
AGGACGAACGCUGGCGGCGUGCUUAACACAUGCAAGUCGAGCGGUAAGGCCUUUCGGGGUACACGAGCGGCGAACGGGUGAGUAACACGUGGGUGAUCUGCCCUGCACUUCGGGAUAAGCCUGGGAAACUGGGUCUAAUACCGGAUAUGACCUCAGGUUGCAUGACUUGGGGUGGAAAGAUUUAUCGGUGCAGGAUGGGCCCGCGGCCUAUCAGCUUGUUGGUGGGGUAAUGGCCUACCAAGGCGACGACGGGUAGCCGACCUGAGAGGGUGACCGGCCACACUGGGACUGAGACACGGCCCAGACUCCUACGGGA